AACGCAGAGUUUGGGGGAGGGAGGCACAAGGGAGGUGCAAGUGAUUCAGAUCUCUGUCCUCAGUCGCCUCAUCUGCCAGAUUAGGGAGCCCCUCUUGAAUAUCUACAGGAUCCUGUCCAACUCUCCUUUCUGGCCUUCUGACAGAUUCUACACGUUCAACCAGGGAGAGCCCCAUAGCUAAGUUUCUUUCCUCACCAGUCUGUGCUGGGGGCUACGAGGAGACCCCUUUCCCACUAUGGGCAACCAGGUGAUGUGCUGCGUGGCUCUUUGUCUCUUUGGAGCAGGCACCGUGGCUGGUGGGGUCAGUCAGACCCCUAAAUACCUGCUCAAAAAGGAAGGCGGAGCUGUGACCCUGGAAUGUGAACAGGAUUUUGAUUACGACUCAAUGUACUGGUACCGACAGGACCCAGGUCUAGGACUGAGGCGGAUCUUCUUCUCGCAAUUUGUAAACAAUGUUCAGGAAGAAGACAUAGCUAAAGGCUACAGCGCCUCUCGUGAAAAGAAGCCUUUCUUUCCUCUUACCGUGACAUCAGCACAGAAGAACCAGAUGGCUCUGUAUCUCUGUGCUGCUAGUAGAGACACAGUGACUCAAAGCCACGUCCUCUCUGCACACAAAUGA